AUUCUACUCCCUCCGUUGCACAAUACAUGCCUUCUAUUUGUCAAAAUAUAUAUGUAUCUAGACAUGUUUUAGUAUAUAGGUAAAUCCAUUUUUGGACAAAUGGAAGUCAAGUAUUUUGGAACGGAGGGAGUACACA
rnacentral:pre_miRNA from 1 species